rnacentral:rRNA from 1 species
UACGGAGGGUGCGAGCGUUGUCCGGAAUCACUGGGCGUAAAGGGCGCGUAGGCGGCCUGAUAAGUAGGGGGUGAAAUCCCUCGGCUUAACCGGGGAACUGCGUCUGAUACUGGAUGGCUUGAGUGUGGGAGAGGGAUGCGGAAUUCCAGGUGUAGCGGUGAAAUGCGUAGAUAUCUGGAGGAACACCCGUAGCGAAGGCGGCACUCUGGGCCGGUACUGACGCUGAGGAGCGAAAGCGUGGGGAGCAAACAGG